GACGAACGCUGGCGGCGUGCUUAACACAUGCAAGUCGAACGGAAAGGCCCUGCUCUUGUGGGGUGCUCGAGUGGCGAACGGGUGAGUAACACGUGAGUAAACCGCCCUUGACUUUGGGAUAACUCCAGGAAACUGGGGCUAAUAUCGGAUAGGAGCUCUUGCUGCAUGGUGGGGGUUGGAAAGUUUCGGCGGUUGGGGAUUGACUCGCGGGUUAUCAGCUUGUUGGUGGGGUAGUGGCUUACCAAGGCUUUGACGGGUAGCCGGCCUGAGAGGGUGACCGGCCACAUUGGGACUGAGAGACGGCCCAGACUCCUACGGGAGGCAGCAGGGGGGAAUAUUGCACGAUGGGCGGAAGCCUGAUGCAGCAACGCCGCGUGCGGGAUGACUGCCUUCGGGUUGUAAACCGCUUUCGCCUGUGACGAAGCGUGAGUGACGGUAAUGGGUAAAGAAGCACCGGCUAACUACGUG
rnacentral:rRNA from 1 species